GACGAACGCUGGCGGCGUGCUUAACACAUGCAAGUCGAACGGAAAGGCCCUGCUUUUGUGGGGUUCUCGAGUGGCGAACGGGUGAGUAACGCGUGAGUAACCUGCCCUUGACUUUGGGAUAACUUCAGGAAACUGGGGCUAAUCCCGGAUAGGAGCUCCUGCUGCAUGGUGGGGGUUGGAAAGUUUCGGCGGUUGGGGAUGGACUCGCGGCUUAUCAGCUUGUUGGUGGGGUAGUGGCUUGCCAAGGCUUUGACGGGUAGCCGGCCUGUGAGGGGGACCGGCGACAUGGGGACUGAGGUACGGCCCAGACUGCAACGGGAGGCAGCAGUGGGGAAUAUUGCACAAUGGGCGGAAGCCUGAUGCAGCAACGCCGCGUGCGGGAUGACGGCCUUCGGGUUGUAAACCGCUUUCGCCUGUGACGAAGCGGGAGUGACGGUAAUGGGUAAAGAAGCACCGGCUAACUACGUG
rnacentral:rRNA from 1 species